CGGGAGAUAGCUGGUUCUCCCCGAAAGCUAUUUAGGUAGCGCCUCGUGAAUUCAUCUCCGGGGGUAGAGCACUGUUUCGGCUAGGGGGCCAUCCCGGCUUACCAACCCGAUGCAAACUGCGAAUACCGGAGAAUGUUAUCACGGGAGACACACGGCGGGUGCUAACGUCCGUCGUGAAGAGGGAAACAACCCAGACCGCCAGCUAAGGUCCCAAAGUCAUGGUUAAGUGGGAAACGAUGUGGGAAGGCCCAGACAGCCAGGAUGUUGGCUUAGAAGCAGCCAUCAUUUAAAGAAAGCGUAAUAGCUCACUGGUCGAGUCGGCCUGCGCGGAAGAUGUAACGGGGCUAAACCAUG
rnacentral:rRNA from 1 species